AACGAACGCUGGCGGCGUGCCUAACACAUGCAAGUCGAGCGCGAAUGGAGCAAUCCUAGUAGAGCGGCGCACGGGUGCGUAACACGUGGGUAAUCUGCCUCAAAGCCCGGGAUAACCUGCCGAAAGGCAAGCUAAUACCGGAUAAGCCUACGGACUCUUCGGGGUCUGAAGGAAAAGGUGGCCUCUGUAUACAAGCUAUCACUUUGAGAUGAGCCCGCGGCCCAUCAGCUCGUUGGCGGGGUAACGGCCCACCAAGGCAACGACGGGUAGCUGGUCUGAGAGGACGAUCAGCCACACUGGAACUGAGACACGGUCCAGACUCCUACGGGAGGCAGCAGUGGGGAAUAUUGGACAAUGGGCGAAAGCCUGAUCCAGCGACGCCGCGUGGGUGAAGAAGGCCUGCGGGUUGUAAAGCCCUUUCGGUGGGAAGAAAAGCCUCGAGUUAAUACCUCGGGUCUUGACGUAACCCAUAGAAGAAGCACCGGCUAACUCUGUGCCAGCAGCCGCA
rnacentral:rRNA from 1 species